UUGACCUCGGAUCAGGUAGGGAUACCUGCUGAACUUAA
rnacentral:rRNA from 1 species